rnacentral:rRNA from 1 species
AGAGUUUGAUCCUGGCUCAGGAUGAACGCUAGCUACAGGCUUAACACAUGCAAGUCGAGGGGCAGCAUGGACCCAGUUUUGCUGGGUUUGAUGGCGACCGGCGCACGGGUGAGUAACGCGUAUCCAACCUGCCCUUUACUCCGGGAUAGUCUCCUGAAAGGGAGUUUAAUACCGGAUGUGUUUGUCUUUCCGCAUGGGAGCGACAAAUAAAGAUUGAUUGGUAAAGGAUGGGGAUGCGUCCCAUUAGCUUGUUGGCGGGGUAACGGCCCACCAAGGCGACGAUGGGUAGGGGUUCUGAGAGGAAGGUCCCCCACAUUGGAACUGAGACACGGUCCAAACUCCUACGGGAGGCAGCAGUGAGGAAUAUUGGUCAAUGGGCGGGAGCCUGAACCAGCCAAGUAGCGUGAAGGAUGACGGCCCUACGGGUUGUAAACUUCUUUUAUAAGGGAAUAAAGUUCGCCACGUGUGGUGUUUUGUAUGUACCUUAUGAAUAAGCAUCGGCUAAUUCCGUGCCAGCAGCCGCGGUAAUACGGAAGAUGCGAGCGUUAUCCGGAUUUAUUGGGUUUAAAGGGAGCGUAGGCGGGCUUUUAAGUCAGCGGUCAAAGUUUGCCACGGCUCAACCGUGGCCAGCCGUUGAAACUGCAAGCCUUGAGUCUGCACAGGGCACAUGGAAUUCGUGGUGUAGCGGUGAAAUGCUUAGAUAUCACGAAGAACUCCGAUCGCGAAGGCAUUGUGCCGGGGCAUAACUGACGCUGAGGCUCGAAAGUGCGGGUAUCAAACAGGAUUAGAUACCCUGGUAGUCCGCACGGUAAACGAUGAAUGCUCGCUAUGGGCGAUACAAUGUCCGUGGCCAAGCGAAAGCGUUAAGC